GAGAGAGAGAGAUACCCAGUGAAGACCGCUGAAGAUCUCCGAAGAAGUGAAGCUACAACGGAACAUUUUAGAAGGAGACAUCACCAUGGCGAUGUUGACCAUUCUUCUGCUUCUCAGCGCUGCCGUUGCACUGGGCGAAGCCGUAACUCUGGAUGAAGCAAAUGCUAUGGUGGCAUCUGCAGCAGAUAAAAAAAGCCCAUGCCCCAAAGACUGGUUCCAGUUUAAUUCACGCUGCUUCAUGUUUGUCCAGACUGCAAGGACAUGGCCUGAA